rnacentral:tRNA from 1 species
GAGAGUAUAGCUCAGUGGUAGAGUGCAUGCUUAGCAUGCACAAAGUCCUGGGUUCAAUCCCCAGUAUCUCCA